GGGCGAUUAGCUCAGUUGGUUAGAGCACCUGUCUUACACACAGGGGGUCGCAGGUUCGAGCCCUGCAUCGCCCACCA
rnacentral:tRNA from 1 species